rnacentral:rRNA from 1 species
CAGCCGCCACGGUAAUACGUAGGUGGCAAGCGUUGUCCGGAAUUAUUGGGCGUAAAGGGCUCGCAGGCGGUUUCUUAAGUCUGAUGUGAGAGCCCCCGGCUCAACCGGGGAGGGUCAUUGGAAACUGGGAAACUUGAGUGCAGAAGAGGAGAGUGGAAUUCCACGUGUAGCGGUGAAAUGCGUAGAGAUGUGGAGGAACACCAGUGGCGAAGGCGACUCUCUGGUCUGUAACUGACGCUGAGGAGCGAAAGCGUGGGGAGCGAACAGGAUUAGAUACCCCAGUAGUCCCUGUCUCUUAUAC